CUGAGUUUUCAACUCUCCAAACCAUGUGAACUUACCACUGUUGCCUCGGUGGUUAGUGCCCUGCUUCGGCGGGGUGCUGCCGCCGGCGGACAAACUAAACUCUUGCCAACUUUGUCAAAUCUGAAUCUAAAACUAAGAAAUAAGUUA
rnacentral:misc_RNA from 1 species